rnacentral:rRNA from 1 species
AUUGAACGCUGGCGGCAGGCUUAACACAUGCAAGUCGAGCGGGGUGAUGGUGCUUGCACUAUCACUUAGCGGCGGACGGGUGAGUAAUGCUUAGGAAUCUGCCUAUUAGUGGGGGACAACAUCCCGAAAGGGAUGCUAAUACCGCAUACGUCCUACAGGAGAAAGCAGGGGAUCACUUGUGACCUUGCGCUAAUAGAUGAGCCUAAGUCGGAUUAGCUAGUUGGUGGGGUAAAGGCCUACCAAGGCGACGAUCUGUAGCGGGUCUGAGAGGAUGAUCCGCCAAACUGGGACUGAGACACGGCCCAGACUCCUACGGGAGGCAGCAGUGGGGAAUAUUGGACAAUGGGGGGAACCCUGAUCCAGCCAUGCCGCGUGUGUGAAGAAGGCCUUAUGGUUGUAAAGCACUUUAAGCGAGGAGGAGGCUCUUUUGGUUAAUACCCAAGAUGAGUGGACGUUACUCGCAGAAUAAGCACCGGCUAACUCUGUGCCAGCCGCCGCGGUAA